CUAGGUAUGGAGACAUGGUGCCAAAGACAAUUGCGGGGAAGAUCUUUGGCUCAAUCUGCUCCCUGAGUGGUGUGUUGGUGAUUGCUCUGCCCGUCCCCGUUAUCGUCUCUAAC
rfam:Larimichthys crocea isolate SSNF unplaced genomic scaffold scaffold584, whole genome shotgun sequence.